CAUUAACCAUCACUCUUGUUUUGAUUGGUAUAGCAUAGCCAUGAAUGUUGGUUGCUUCGGUGCAUUCUCUGGGUAUUAACAAUGGAGAUGGGAUAUUGUAAAAGGAGACCCUAAAGUAUGAGAGAAUCUGAGCCGCUUCUUUUUAUUUGGUCAAGACUGAUGAACCACUGUCCUAGGACACAGUAAAAAGUCAACAAGUGGUUCGCUAGGCGACAGGUGGAGGGCAUGCACGAGAGAGGCUUGGUCCCAACUCCAAACUUAUCUAAAAGUUAUGCUUUGAUGUUUGAGAUUGUUAGCUUGGUCUGGAGAUUGCUACUUUGCUGCACUCUCAAUAGAACAUCAACAAGGUCUUCCUCCUCU